rnacentral:rRNA from 1 species
ACUCCUACGGGAGGCAGCAGUGGGGAAUAUUGCACAAUGGGCGCAAGCCUGAUGCAGCCAUGCCGCGUGUAUGAAGAAGGCCUUCGGGUUGUAAAGUACUUUCAGCAGUGAGGAAGGCAGGUACGUUAAUAGCGUGCUUGUUUGACGUUAGCUGCAGAAGAAGCACCGGCUAACUCCGUGCCAGCAGCCGCGGUAAUACGGAGGGUGCGAGCGUUAAUCGGAAUUACUGGGCGUAAAGCGCAUGCAGGCGGCCUGUUAAGUCAGAUGUGAAAGCCCGGGGCUUAACCUCGGAAUUGCAUUUGAAACUGGCAGGCUAGAGUCUUGUAGAGGGGGGUAGAAUUUCAGGUGUAGCGGUGAAAUGCGUAGAGAUCUGAAGGAAUACCAGUGGCGAAGGCGGCCCCCUGGACAAAGACUGACGCUCAGAUGCGAAAGCGUGGGGAGCAAACAGGAUUAGAUAACCCUGGUAGGAUAG